UUUUAUCUCUAAAAUUAUGGUGGCUAAAGUUGAACUGAAACUCUGGGGGCGAAAUAACAAGGUGGCCCUUCGUUAUGUUUGUCCGGUAGCAGAACGUACUGUUAAUUGUUCAGUGAGAGCCCCACACGGCAUCAGAAGUGAUAAUGUGGACAUGAGUAAAAAAUCAUAGGAUCACUCCCCCCCUGGUUUCCCAUAUUAGGUAUGGGGUUAAACAGCCCCUAAAAUUGCAGCCCCAAAGGUUGCGUUAAUGGGGGGCCAUGAGUAAUAGACGCACAAAGUGCCAGGAAAUAAUUAUUCAAGAGCCAAAGGGGCGGCGAAUCAAGUCUAAGACGCCGCUCCUCUUGCCCAAUGGGCAUCGGUAAAUCGAAGGUGAUAACCAUCUUUCGGCGCCGCACUGUACUAAACUAACUAAAGUGGGGGAUAGUGAGGGGAUAAAUUUCCUUAAGGAACUCGGCAAAAUCCCAAUGGCCCACCAGGGCAUUUAACCUUUGUAGCAAGGUAUCAAGGUACCUUCUACGAAGGUGGGGUCCGGUAGGACCCUACCUCCACCCUAACGGGUGGCGGUUCAAGACUUGACUUCAAGGCCUGCAGGCCUUACCUGCAGGGACCAGUCAAGGACUUGUAUUGGAACACGGGCCUCGACUGUUUACCAAAAACAUAGCCCUCGGCCAAUAUGAAAAUAGAAGUAUGGAGGGUGAGGCCUGCCCAAUGGUUGUAUCUAAAAGCGGUUGAUAAAAGUCGACCGUGUAAGGACAAUUGAAUGGCCGCGGUAACACUGACCGUGAUAAUGUAGCGUAAUCAAUAGCCAAUUAAUUGUUGGCCAGUAUGAAUGGCGCCACGAAGGCCCCACUGUCUUAAGGAAAUUCCCAGUGAAAUUGAAUUNGUAGUGAAGAUGNUACGUCCAAUUUGUUAGACGAAAAGACCCCGUUGAGCUUUACUGGGGCACUUACACGGCCCCGGCCUUCGAGACUAGGUGGAUAAGCCAAGGCUUACCCUACCUAGGGSCCGGCCGAAUUUUAAUGGGCGGCUUAGACUAUGUGGCAGCCCCCCCCGUCGGGGCAGAUGAAACCCCACUCCCCCAUGUCAAAGGGGCUAACCCCCCCCCCCUUGGGGGGGACAAUGUAAGUAGGACAGUUUGGUUGGGGCGACCGCCUUUUAGAGAGUAACGAAGGUGCGCUUAAGGUGCGUGAUUAAUGACUGAAGCCUGACUGCGAGGGGGACACCCCGAGCAGACACCCCCAAGCCCGCCCGCCCAGAAGGCUAUGCAACCCCCGUAGGGGGUUCCUUUAGCCUUCUGGGAGGGCGGCGGUGGGGUGGGCCAUAGUGACCCGUUAAUUUAGAGUGGAAUAGUUAACGAUCAACGAAUAAAAGUUACCACGGGGAUAACAGCGUAAU
rnacentral:rRNA from 1 species